rnacentral:lncRNA from 1 species
GGACCAACCAACAUAUGGCGAGCUUGCCAGGAGUGAGUGACCACUGCGUCUGGAUGAUCUUCAUCCCACUGUGCAGCGCAUCAAAUUAUAAGGCGCUAUCGACAACGGUCAGUGAAAAAAAGUUGUGAUGGACUACUUUCUGGAGGACGAUCAUGCCAUGCUGACUCUCUCGGACUCUGAAAACUGAAUCAGACGAUGAGGAAAUCCCCGAUUUAGCAUCAGUAGAACAUGCCUGACUCUACCCCACCAGUCAUACAAGGAGAAUGUUCUAAUGCCUCCCAUCAAAAAGAGAGCUGGCCCAAGCAAGCACAGGUUACACCUGAAGCAUGAGGACUUGCAGCAAGUGGUGAACUUCAACAACUACGCAGAGGAUAAUGCAAUAGUAUUACCAGGACACCACCCAGGACACAAACUCUUUGGUGGAAAGCUGCUGCCAUCCCAUGUGACAAAAGCAGCAGUGUGGCGUCUCUACAAGGAAUCUGUCUCAGGGGGCCCCUACUGAACCAGCAAACAGUCUGGACCUUCACUUCCAAGAUCAAAGGCCACACCAAGUUUGCCCCCGACUGGUGCUUCGGCCUCAUCAAGCAGCGCUUCAGAAAGACCAGAGUGAACACUGUCUGAGAUUGCUGGUGUUGUGAAGUACAGCACUGUGAUAGGGGUCAACAUCCCACAGCUGGUUGGACUGGAGGAUGAUACGGUGCUGGUGGAAAGCUAUGGCCGGCAACAACACUUGACUUCGUACUUCAGGCCGCUGCCACAGAUCAAGCAGUACCAGCACUUCAGAUGGUCUGCCUGUACAAGCACCACCUGGACUGGACACAGCUAGACAAACUUACAGUUUUGAG